GACGGAGGAGGCAAGCGUUAUCCGGAAUUAUUGGGCGUAAAGAGCUUGUAGGCGGUUUGUCGCGUCUGCCGUGAAAAUCCGGGGCUCAACCCCGGACUUGCGGUGGGUACGGGCAGACUAGAGUGUGGUAGGGGAGACUGGAAUUCCUGGUGUAGCGGUGAAAUGCGCAGAUAUCAGGAGGAACACCGAUGGCGAAGGCAGGUCUCUGGGCCACUACUGACGCUGAGAAGCGAAAGCGUGGGGAGCGAACAGG
rnacentral:rRNA from 1 species